GGGAUGGCCGUGGGCCGCCUCUUUCUAAGUCGGCUUCGAGCACCCUUCAGUUCCAUGGCCAAGAGCCCACUCGAGGGCGUUUCCUCCUCCAGAGGCCUGCACGCGGGGCGCGGGCCCCGAAGGCUCUCCAUCGAAGGCAACAUUGCUGUGGGGAAGUCCACGUUUGUGAAGUUACUCACGAAAACUUACCCAGAAUGGCACGUAGCUACAGAACCUGUAGCAACAUGGCAGAAUAUCCAGGCUGCUGGCACCCAAAAAGCCUGCACUGCCCAAAGUCUUGGAAACUUGCUGGAUAUGAUGUACCGGGAGCCAGCACGAUGGUCCUACACAUUCCAGACAUUUUCCUUUUUGAGCCGCCUGAAAGUACAGCUGGAGCCCUUCCCUGAGAAACUCUUACAGGCCAGGAAGCCAGUACAGAUCUUUGAGAGGUCUGUGUACAGUGACAGGUAAAAUGCCAAGCCCUCCACCAGUCACAAGCCCCAUGCUCAGUGCUGCCUGUUUGAUCUUGCACAGAUCCUGCACUGCUAUGGUCACUGAUGAUUAUACUUUGAAAAAUUGUCUUCUUUUUUAAAGACAACACUAUACAGAUUUGU
rnacentral:sRNA from 1 species